CAUUCACGGAGAGUUUGAUCCUGGCUCAGGACGAACGCUGGCGGCGUGCUUAACACAUGCAAGUCGAACGAUGAAGCCUUUCGGGGUGGAUUAGUGGCGAACGGGUGAGUAACACGUGGGCGAUCUGCCCUUCACUCUGGGACAAGCCCUGGAAACGGGGUCUAAUACCGGAUAACACUCUGUCCUGCAUGGGACGGGGUUAAAAGCUCCGGCGGUGAAGGAUGAGCCCGCGGCCUAUCAGCUUGUUGGUGGGGUAAUGGCCUACCAAGGCGACGACGGGUAGCCGGCCUGAGAGGGCGACCGGCCACACUGGGACUGAGACACGGCCCAGACUCCUACGGGAGGCAGCAG
rnacentral:rRNA from 1 species